AAGACUUCAAGUUAAAAAUGUAUCUGUUGCUGGGUCUGAUGACCUUGUUUCACCAUGUGAACUCACAGACUAUCCGCCAGACUCCCGCUGCCGUCUCCAGAUUUCCCGGGGAUGAAGUGGAACUGGAGUGCACUGUGGAGGGGCGCAGUAACCUUGACAUGUUCUGGUACAGACAGUACCCGGGGAGGGAGCCGCAGCUGAUGUUUUACUCCACAGGCACUAAUCAGUUGAGUUCAGAGGGGCCGGUGGACAGUUUCACCGCCCGGAGACCGAGUGACUCCGAGUUCAUGCUGAAGACCCCCAGCCUGCGGGCGAAUCACUCGGCCGUGUAUUACUGCGCCUGGCGUCUGCACAGUGACUCAGAGAGAUUGAACAGCUCAACAAAAACCCCAAAGACGGCAGGAAACAGCUGCUCGAGACAACAUUACGAGGCGCUUCGACUCGCUGUUUCUUUUUCUCUCGGGACAAAGACCUUUUGA